CACUGUAAAGCUACUAAGCAUUAACCUUUUAAGUUAAAGACUGAGAGACCCCUCCCCUCUCUACAGUGA
rnacentral:tRNA from 2 species